AACGAACGCUGGCGGCAUGCCUAACACAUGCAAGUCGAACGAGAUCUUCGGGUCUAGUGGCGCACGGGUGCGUAACGCGUGGGAAUCUGCCCUUUGGUUCGGAAUAACAGUUGGAAACGACUGCUAAUACCGGAUGAUGACGAAAGUCCAAAGAUUUAUCGCCAGAGGAUGAGCCCGCGUAGGAUUAGCUAGUUGGUGUGGUAAAGGCGCACCAAGGCGACGAUCCUUAGCUGGUCUGAGAGGAUGAUCAGCCACACUGGGACUGAGACACGGCCCAGACUCCUACGGGAGGCAGCAGUGGGGAAUAUUGGACAAUGGGCGAAAGCUUGAUCCAGCAAUGCCGCGUGAGUGAUGAAGGCCUUAGGGUUGUAAAGCUCUUUUACCCGGGAUGAUAAUGACAGUACCGGGAGAAUAAGCUCCGGCUAACUCCGUGCCAGCAGCCGUCGUAA
rnacentral:rRNA from 1 species